rnacentral:rRNA from 1 species
GAUAACAUGCCCUUGGGUGGAGGAUAAUCUCGGGAAACUGAGAAUAAUACUCCAUAACUAGGCUGGAAUGUUUAGCAAAACUCCGGUGCCCAAGGAUUGGUCUGCGGCCUAUCAGGUUGUAGGGGUAUAAUUGACCCCUAGCCCGCGACGGGUAUGGGCCUUGAGAGAGGGUGCCCAGAGAUGGAUCUGAGACAGAGUCCAGGCCCUACGGGGCGCAGCAGUCGCGAAAACUUCGCAAUGGGGAAACCCGACGAGGGAAUUCCAAGUGUCACACUGUGUUGACUGUUCUCGUCUAAAAAACGGAGGAGUAAGGGCCGGGUAAGACGGGUGCCAGCCGCCGCGGUAAUACCCGCGGCCCAAGUGGUGGUCGAUAUUAUUGAGCCUAAAACGUCCGUAGCCGGUCUCUAAAUCCUUGGUAAAUCGACAGCUUAACGUCGAAUCGAGGAGACUGGAGACUUGGGACCGGGAGAGGUAGAGGUACUUCGGGGUAGGGGUAAAAUCCUGUAAUCCUGAAGGACCACCGGUGGCGAAGGCGUCUACCAGAACGGUUCGACGGUGAGGGACGAAAGCUGGGGGCACGAACCGGAUUAGAUACCCGGGUAGUCCCAGCCGUAAACGAUGCUGCUAGGUGUCGGUGGCCGACCUGUCGGUGCCGAGGGAAGCCGUGAAGCAGCCACCUGGGAAGUACGGCCGCAAG